rnacentral:rRNA from 1 species
GGCACCACCAGGAGUGGAGCCUGCGGCUUAAUUUGACCCAACACGGGGAAACUCACCAGGUCCAGACACAAUAAGGAUUGACAGAUUGAGAGCUCUUUCUUGAUUUUGUGGGUGGUGGUGCAUGGCCGUUCUUAGUUGGUGGAGUGAUUUGUCUGCUUAAUUGCGAUAACGAACGAGACCUUAACCUACUAAAUAGUGCUGUUAGCUUUUGCUGAUAUUGACACUUCUUAGAGGGACUAUCGAUUUCAAGUCGAUGGAAGUUUGAGGCAAUAACAGGUCUGUGAUGCCCUUAGACGUUCUGGGCCGCACGCGCGCUACACUGACGGAGCCAGCGAGUACUAACCUUGGCCGAGAGGUCUGGGUAAUCUUGUGAAACUCCGUCGUGCUGGGGAUAGAGCAUUGCAAUUAUUGCUCUUCAACGAGGAAUUCCUAGUAAGCGCAAGUCAUCAGCUUGCGUUGAUUACGUCCCUGCCCUUUGUACACACCGCCCGUCGCUACUACCGAUUGAAUGGCUUAGUGAGGACUCCGGAUUGGUUCAGAGUAGAGGGCAACUUCAACUUGGAACCGAAAAGCUGUUCAAACUUGGUCAUUUAGAGGAAGUAAAAGUCGUAACAAGGUUUCCGUAGG